AGUAAGUUUGCUGUCGUAGUUUUCAAAAAUUGGGAAAAUCCCAAUGGAUUAAAAUCUACCGAGCUAGUACCAGUUUCUUGGCUAAGCUAUGAAGACUCGGGAUGGUUUUGCGUUUAUCCUGACGAAAAAGACUAUCCAAAAUUGGAAAAAUGGAUUCGAGAAGAAAAAAAACCAGGAGCGAAAUGGGUUCGAUAUGAAGUAGAUGUGCUUAAGGAAGCGAAAAAUCAUGAGCAAGGAGUCAAACGAUUAAGAAAAUCCUUUGAAACCGCGAACAUCAGUUCUACUGACAACGAUGAAGAUGGAGCAGAAAAUGUUGUUGUGGAUCCUCCUCAAAUCAUUAUCGAUGAGUCGUCACUUGCAGGGUUUUUUGCUGGCUUAGAAGCCGAUGCAAAUUCAGGUGCACCUGAAUUUAAAAAAA